CCUGGAUGCAGCACUCUCCAACUAUCAUAUAGGUUGUGUAGUGUGAGCAGUUUGGACACUGCUUUGCACAUGGAAUUUACGGUCGCCUGUCUCGUCCCCUGAGGUAGGGCAGUUGUGUCAACAUCUGGGGAAGUGAAGAAAUUAAAGUCUCCGCAGAGCACCAGUCUACCUUGCCUAUAUUUAUCUAUGUCUUGCAGAAGACGUCUGAGGUAUUUUUCCGUCCCAGUGUUUGGAAAGUAGGCAGAUACCAAGGUAUAUUGGGCGUUAUUAAAAAGACCUACUAGUAAGACAUAUCUCCCUUGGGC